rnacentral:rRNA from 1 species
GACGAACGCUGGCGGCGUGCUUAACACAUGCAAGUCGAGCGGUAAGGCCCUUUCGGGGGUACGACGAGCGGCGAACGGGUGAGCAACACGUGGGUGACCUGCCCUCAGCUCUGGGAUAAGCCUGGGAAACCGGGUCUAAUACUGGAUAUGACUCCAUGACGCAUGUUGUGGGGUGGAAAGCCUUGUGCGGCUGAGGAUGGGCCCGCGGCCUAUCAGCUUGUUGGUGGGGUGAUGGCCUACCAAGGCGACGACGGGUAGCCGGCCUGAGAGGGCGACCGGCCACACUGGGACUGAGACACGGCCCCAGACUCCUACGGGAGGCAGCAGUGGGGAAUCUUGCGCAAUGGGCGAAAGCCUGACGCAGCGACGCCGCGUGAGGGAUGACGGCCUCGGUGUAAC